AUAAUGCCAACAAGGAUCACAAAGAACUCAUUGAUGGCCAGUCCCAUGGCAGCAAACGCAUGGAUUUCUCUCUCACUAAAACAGAAGAAGAGUGUAAGCACCAAGAGCUUUUCUAAGUUCAGGGUGUAUGCUUUGAAGUCCAAGAACAAUACUAUUACAGGCUUGAGAGUCUUAUCAACUCGGAUGCCACGCCCUACACCCACACGAUGAUUGUAGAAUACAUUUGGUAUGUUUUAAUGCCUAAAACCAUUUAGUGUGAUCCACAAAAAGAUGACAAAUACUAGAACUAUUCUGUACUGAGAUUAUAAGUUCGCAUUUUUCUUCGAUAUGCCAUCAGAAUAAGUAUGUCAUAUGUUAUAUGCACAUUCAACUGCUGACACCUUUUCUUUUUUUCUUUCAAUUUUUGCAUUAGCGAACCUUAUUUCACAUUUUGACGUUAGUCUAACUAUGAGUCAGGAUCGGAGUUUCUGGUAUAGAUUUGCACAGCACAUCAAGGGUAUGAAUAGCAACAAUAAAAUAUGUAGGGUUCUUCUUUUUACAUGCUACAUGCUACUAAUAUAUUGAUUCAUGAAUAAUCAGAUGAUCCCUAGAGCUGUUGAGUAUGGAUCAAGUACUGGUCAAGCUCCAGGGGAGGAUAGUGAAGUGAUCUAAUCGUAAGAUGACAUAAACCAAAAACUCUCUUACUAUAUUUACCUUCACAUCAUUCCAUCAAGUUCUUGAUUUUUUAACAACCCUCGAGCAAUUUUCAAGGAUCCUUUCUGAGGCAGCAACAAUAGCAUGGUUAUUUGCAAUUUAUACACACCAGCUGGCGAGCUGAUCCCAGCGAACAAACGUGCCGGCGUUGCUGAAAUUUUCAGUAACCCAAAGGUUAUCAAUGAAGUUUCAUGGUAUGGGAUUGAACAAGAAAACACCCUACUGCGGGACCGAAGAAACGGUCAAUCUCGUUUGCGGCAAAACAGAGCAAAUCUAGAAUGAAUCGGGAUCACAUUUAGAGAUUAAUUGGGGAAGAUACGACCUGGUAAAUGUGGUUGUGGCCAAGGGUACAGGGUCCAAACCGUGCAAAUUGAAACUCCGCCGAGCUGAUUCCGGUCCAACUCCAGUUCAGGUUUAGCGACGAAUAAGAAAACGACAACAUCAAUCACGAACACGGAGCAUCACAGAGCAGUAUACUGUGGGGCUGUCCAAGGCAGAUUUGACAAUUCCGAGGGGUGUCGUUGUAUGUACCAGUGUUACCGGGUACAGGUACGCUAGGAGGAAGCGCUGCCGUGGAGUCUUUUGCUGGCAGAAGAUGAGAAAAGGAGCACGACGAAGGAAAAAAAAAAGGGACACUCGGCCUCACCCCUGCGACAUUGGUUUUUAGGCGAAACUGGAACUUCAACGAUCGUCGCCAAAGUGCAGGACGAAUGUCUGGAGCUUCAGGAACGGAUGGACAAGCUAAUAGGGUUAACAACUUGUUACAACGUAAAUAAUCUGUUGUUAUGACACAUUUAUUCUAGUAUUAUGAAUAUGCAUAAUUGAAUUUAC